UUGCAAUUGAUACUUAGAUGUCCAUCCAUAUGCAAGGUUUGCUAUGAUUCCUCCAGCGAAGUAACUCACAGAUUUCUCGUCACUCAGAAUCAGAUCUCUGUAAGACAGCAGUUAGAAAAGGUUCCAAAUGUCACAACUUACGUUGCAGCUAAUUGAAGCAAAUGAUCCUCUGGAUGAUCUUUCAAGGCACGUAAGACAAGCUAGGGAGAAAAACAAUUCAAAAUAAUAUGUAACCAAGAUUAUAGAUUCUUCUUUACUGAUUGUGGCAUUAAAAGCAAAGAAGAAAAGAGAAGUAAUUAACUCCAUUUCAAAGAACAUUGCUUGUUAGCUUAUUAACUUCACUUUAAAAAAUCUUUAAGACCGUUGCAGAAUUAUGUGUCAUAAAAAUUCUGCACUGACAGCACAUUUAAUUAGGGCUCUUUUUCUUUUGAAUCACAUGUCAGCCACAACACAAUUUUUCCAGGAAGAGAUUUAUCAAGUUUGAAUAUUUGAGUAAUUAAAAAAAACUAGCCUCCUAACAAAAGUCUUGUUCAACCAGUCCUGUCCCAAUUCAAAGAUCCAGUUAGUACCAUAUAUUCCAUAUAAGACCAAAAAACUAUAUGCAACAAAAUGUUUUGAUAGACAACUUGAACUAAAAGACGAAGAAGAAUCUUGAAAUAUCUUGUGUGUUUUAUUGUGUGAAUAUCUUGUAAUAUGUGAAAUAUCUUGUGUGAAUAUCUUGAAAUAGAGGUUAUGUGUGUUUUUACUCUUUUCCUAAUAAGAACCAGUAAAUUGAAGUUCAGGCUGGCUGUUCUUAAAUUUUUUCAAGCUAAGAGUGCAAAAAUACAAACUGGGCCUAAGGCUGGAUAUCCUGUUGCUUUUUGUGCGGUCCAAAACCACUCUAUUAACCAUCAUGAAAAGCCAAUAAAUGGAUUACCUGAAUGACCUCUGGUCUUCGUUCAGUCCACUCACUGCACAGGAUAAAGAGGUUUUUCAGAGCUUCUCUGAUGUAGAGUGCUCUGCUUCCAUAUACUUUUAAUGAUAGAAGAAUUUGAUUUUCUAAAAAGGUACCAGAGAUCAGAAGGUUCUGCAAAGUAAAAAAAUAUUAUCAAGCUUCUAGCGAUUCUUAAAAACUUAUUAGCUUUUUAAAAAUUGUCACAAAAUUAUGUAAUUUAAGCAUACAUAUUAUAUAAUUAUUUGCUUUAAACCCUCCCAGUCAACGAUUUAUGUACCAAUAAAGGUGACAACAGGAGGCUUGAAAUUGAAAAAUUAUAGUAAAUGCAUUACAUAAUUAAUGGCCAACUAGAUCUGCUUACAGUAGUGAUGGCUGGUUUGAAACCUCACCAGUCAUUUAGUUCAUAUUAACUAAAAGCUCACACAGCUCUGAAAAAAUGAUGAAGACUGACAGUGCAUACAGCAAUUGGACAGCAUUUUUGGUCAUUCAAUCAAUGCCACAUGCUACAAAAUUCCUUGAAUGUAAAAUAUGGAAAAAGGUUUUGAAAUACUCUGAUGUAGCACGCUCUUGAUCUAUAAGAGCCUAGAAACUCUAUUUGCAAAAAGUAGGCAAUGAAAAAUCCUUAUCAUGAGAUGCGGAAAUGAGAAAAACUUUUUAAUUUUCCCAGAUAUUGACAAAACAGUGGUGAUUUCAUAAGCUAAAGAACAAAGCUAAUAAAAGUGUCAUGCAAAACUAUUAUUUUGUGGUCUGGGAUUCCAUUAGAUUUAGCUUUGAAUAACUUUGUGAAACCAGUUGUAAAAGACAAAGUAAGGUUGAAGAGAAGUAGUUUUUAUUGAAUGCCACAAAGAGAUUUUUCAAAAUCCAAAGGAGACAUGGGUAAAUACAACAUUUAUUGGCAUGGACAGAUAUUCUCACAGUUGGUUGAGAAUAAACAGAGAUUUUAUCAAAAAUUUCAUCUUGGACCAUAUCAAAAUUUCUCAAGAUACCACUUGGAGACUUUAUUCUGCCUUUUAUCAAACACGAUCAUGCAAAACUACUUCACUUACAAGCACGCUAUCUGCCACAGAAGCCAUGACAGUGUAUUCAAUUUCUAUUAGAGACAGGCCAAGAAAAGUAACUGUCUUGUGUGAUUCCAAGAACUUGUUAACGUGACCAGUAUGUAGUCCUUUCAUUCCAGAUAAAUCCAGAGAUGAAAUCUUUGGUAGCAGACGUCCAUCUUCAAGCUUUUCCAUGAAAUCAAUAACAAACUUUCGGCGUUCAGCUCUGUCUUUUGCUGCUUCUUGAGUAUUAUCCUCUGGGUCAUCAUCAACUGAUAAAUCCAAGUAGCAUAGAUUGUUAAGAUCCAUCAGUCCAAUUAGACCAUGUUGCUGGGUUAGAACACCAUGAAAAUUCAGUAUUGUUGGUAAACUCAGACUCUGAAGUUGUGUUCCAAAAUACGAAAAUACUGAUGUGUCUAAAGAAAUUUGGGACUUAUUGCGAGGUGUAAAUACUUCAAGUGCUUUUAAAGAGGGGCAAAAUCUCAAAAGAUUUGACCAUUUUUCAUGAUUUAGAUCGCAAUAGUCAAGUAAUGUGUGGAUGCAGAAUACCUCUAAAUUUGGAAACCUGGAGACAAAAUUAAACAAAUGACCAUCAUCGUGAAAUGAUAUUGGAUAGAAAUAUAACUUCAGAACUUUCAAUGACUUUUCGGAGCCUCUAAAUGCAUCCCAUAAAUCAGUUAAAGUUGGGUGAUUUGAAUUGUCUUUAUUGAAUUGUAAGACAAUUUCCUUUAAGUUAUACGUAGAAAAUCCAUGUAGACUUGAUCCACCUAUUGAGCUUCCUAGGUCAGCUAAGUGAAGUUUUUCCAAUGAAAAGUCAUUUGCUUUCCGAAACAGUUUCAACUUAAAAUCUGAAAUGCCACCAGUACGGCCAAGAUAUUCAAAAACUGAGCAAACGAAGGGACCUGGUAGUCUACACAAGUCACUUAGAAAUCCAUAUUCACAUUCCUCCAACGAGGAUUCUGCACGAUUCAGUGUAGUUUUUAUAUAAUCAAGGCACGCCAGCUCCAGUGAUAAGGGUUCCGAUGACCAACGGGGAUCCAUUCUCAAAUUCGAAACUAUUUCUUUAACCGAGCAGUUCAAUUACAGACCUUUCUUGGUGUUAAUUAUUUGUAACCCAUAUAAAGGUUAUACCAUCCUAGGCCAUACGAAUAAUAGGCCUAGGCCAAACAGUUCUUGGUCGCCUACAUUUGUGUCUCAAAGCUGAAUAAUUUGCCAACAAACUUUAAUAAAAAAUGAGCCAAGCAGAUUCAGUUUAAAAAAAUUUAGCAGCACUCUGCUAAUCAAAGUCCUAAACUCUUUAACCUGUAAGAAAUAAAAAUUGUUGUCUUUCUCGCAACGAAAUUCAGAACCAAAAUAAAUUCUUUGAGGAACAUCGCUAACUGCACUCCUGCUAAGCGCCGUGGCUUGCGCAGCAUUUGGUGAGUGAGACAUUUGGUGAGUGAGAAACCAAAAUAAAAUAAUGACCCAUAUCUUCAUAUCCCAAGGCCCCGUUCACAUUGCUCCGAUUCCAGUGUAAACGGAUAAAAAAGUAUCCGUUUUCACCUUGCGCUCACACUGCUCCGCUGCGAAAACAGAGACUUUUGAAAACGCACGUUGAAAACGGAGACUUUCGACAACGCAAUACGCAGUGUGAACAUAGAAAACGGAUACUUUUGAUAACGAUAACAACAACAACACCACAGCAAGAUGCUCAGACCACGCCAAUUUGAACAACUUCUCUUAACAUGGCUGAUUCACUCGAAGUUAGUACACUACUUGGAGGGAUAUUAGUGGCAGACAAUGCCUACUUUUCAACGAUGUGCGAACACAUGCUACUUACCAUCUGUCUUUCCAAAACCAUGAAACCUGACGUGUGUCCGUUAUCAACUGAUGAAAACAACGGUAAGCUAACCGCUCUGUUACAGAUACGUCGAUAGCGUCUAGCUGCUCUGUCCUACCUUGUGCUCUUCAUAGCAGAGAAAUAUACAUAACGAAAAGGUAAAUUGCUAUUUCCAGCAGCUUUAUAUAUUUUUAGCUUUGAAAAGGCUUGAACACAUAUUGUUUACUUUUCCCGGGAUGGCAAAGAACAAUCGUGGCUAUUGAGCAUUAUUGCCACUGACUCAUGUUGAGGAUUUUUGACGCCAUUUUUAUUUCAAGCUUUCAAGUACUUUCUCGUAUCUAAGGAUGACAUCAUUCACAGAGUUUUGGCAAAAAGGAUCAGUGCAAGCAUUCUCAAUCAAAAUGGUAAAUUCUGAAUAUCUGCCAUUUUGAAUUAAUGCUGCCAUUUUGCAGGAAAAUUUGUGAAAUAUGAUUUUUACAGAAUAUUUGCAAAAAGGAUAUAGUUAUUUGCUUAAAGAAAUCCGCCAUUUUGCAAUUGAGCCGUCAUUUUGAAAAUAAUGAAAAAGCUCAAAAGUCCCCAAGUGAAAUUUG